rnacentral:misc_RNA from 1 species
GCACAUUUCAUAAGUCACUGGCUUUUGGGCCAAGGUUUUGUUAACUUGUAGUCGGUUCUAACGACCAUCGGCCUCUUACGAUGUCGGGCAUUUAUAACUCCAUUAUAUCAGUGACCGAUAAAUUUGUGCCAGCAAAACUACGCCCACUCUGGAAUCAUCCUGCAGGUCCAAAAACCAUUUUUUUCUGGGCACCACUAGGAAAAUGGAUAUUAGUGUUUGCUGGUUUGAAAGACAUCACACGACCACCAGAAACUCUGAGUGUAUAUCAGAAUACAGCAUUAGCAGGAACUGGAAUGAUAUGGGCCCGUUAUUCAUUAGUGAUCAUUCCCAAGAACUACAGUCUGUUUGCUGUUAAUCUUUUUGUUGGCUUAACUGGACUGUAUCAGUUGGGCCGGAUCUACAACUAUCGGCAACAUCUAAAGAGAUUGGAGGCUUCAAAUGAAAAUCAACUUGCAAACCAGAAUGCCUCAUCUGAUCAAUGAACUGGGAACUUUGUUACAGAUUUAUCUUCAGCUGUGAUCUAGAAAGUUGUUUUUAUCCAAUCUUUGUCCACCCUCCCAGUACAAAUUGUAGGCAAGUUAGUAAAAAUUGUUUGCCUUCAGAAUGCAUCUCCAUUUUGUAAGUGUGUGUAUGUAUGCAUGUGCACGUGCAUAUGCUUGUAUGUUGCACAUUGAUACAGCAGGUUGCUUUGUGACUAUGUGAACAAGUUGUUUAGACACUCUGUACUUCUUUUUCGUGAUAAAUAUAUGGCACUUUCUUGCACAGAAAACUGCUCAAAUAUUGUGAAAGGACAGUUUGCAAGUUCAUAUGUUUACAAAAGAUAUUAAAAUGAGAAGUUUAAUAAUUUGAUAGUCAUCAAUCAGACAUAACUUCCUGACAAGUGUUAAUAGGAGUCUGUCCUUUCUGGUCUGGAACCUAUUUCUGCUACUUUAGAAAGUAAUAUGAAAGGCAAUGACACCAGUGUCAUUGAGUAUGAACUCAGCUUGCAACCCGAAUGUGUGAUAAUCCUUUUCUCUGAUUUGUUGAUUUGUACAGGUGACUGAUAAUAACUGAUUUCACUAAUAACUUUUGUCUUUGAUUAAUUUCUCUUUACUGUGAUCAAGCUAUUCCUUGUAUCAUUGUAACAUUGUAUCAUUGCAUUGCAACAGUAUGACUGGUUAUCUUGGUUUCUAACUUAAAUUACUAGUGCUGGACUUGCAAUAAGAAAAUGAAUCUUCUGACAUUGGUGGCAGGGAGGUUGGGGGUGGUGGUAAUGGAAGAAAGAAAAAAGAAAGCAAGUGUAUAUGCUAAAAUGGGUCUAUAAAUCAGAUUCAUUAUACCAGCAGAGAGUUAAUAUGUAUUGAUGACACCAAAAUUGUUACAGCUGCCUAUACCACAUGAAUCUUUUUCAUUUUUUGGAUACAGUUCUGAAGCUUGAUAAUUCUUCCUCCUUCAUCAGCUCUAAUAAAGUGAUUUACUGUAAUGCUGUAAAGUCUUUCCUCCUAUUCUUGUCUCCUCCCAUGUUACGUGAGUGUUUAAAUAAGUGUCAGUUCUUCUGCUACUUCUUUUCAAUCCUUAAUCUGUUUCAUGUAACUGCUUUGCACAGUGAUUACAUUGCAUGUGCCAAAUGAUUUGUAGUGCCCUAUUUUUCAAAAAUCUAGUUUUAGUCCUUUAUUCCAGUUUUUAUUUGCCAUAUACUUGUCUUUAAAGUUUGUUCAGAAAACUUCAGAUUUUAUAAACGGAAACAAGAGAAAUACUUUUUUAGUUUGGUCUUUAAAAUGUUAAGUAGAAAAAAAAAUUGAAAAGGCAACGUUUCAUAAAAAGACUAAUAAUGAUAUUAAAGUUGUUAAAUGAUGCUGUAACAUUUUAGCUUUAAUGGUAUUAGAAAAUCGAUGUCAUGAAUCAUGUUCAGCAAGUGCAUUUUUGUCUUUAAUAAAGUUAAAAGAAGUAGCUCUCAGAAAAUAAAAAGAAAUUGAAUCUGACGAAACAGUUUAUAAUUGGUGCCAGAGUAUAAAGAUCUUGGAGAAAUCCUAUAAAAUUAUUCUAAAGAUUAUCAGAUUUGCAUGUCUUGUUUACACAAUUGACUCUCAUAUGUGUGUGUUUGCAUUUGUGUGCACGUGCAUGCUUGCAUGUGCCUGUAUUUUUUCAAGGAUUUUAGGAAUUGAUAUUUAUCUUUUAAAAAACAUUUUUUGAUCCUCCUGUUUACCAAGAAAUAAAACUGUAAUUUCUUGGUAUUCUCUGAGGAGAUAAAACUGUUUUAACAUUAAAUUACUCAGAAAUUUAAUGCAUUUGCCUGUUAAACUGUUUAAAAACAGGUUAAACUUCAUCUCCAUUUUUAUCAUGCUCUGUCUAAUCAAAUGCAAGCCAAAGCCGGUGGCAUAAUAAUGUUUACAUGUGAUUAUUUUUCACAGUAUGGAACAGAUGAAUUAUAAAGGUGGAGUUUAACGUGAAACUUAAAAAAAAAAGAAAAUCAAUCCAAAUAAUUGCAAGCAUUAGGGUAAAAAGCAAGAACAAAAACUCAACAGAACAGAAAGCCUCAUUCUUCAGCACUUAUUUUCAGUUUCGAUGUGCAAUGGUAGCAAGCUAUUUUUUGUUAUAAAUCAAAUGUUUUACUUCAUGUAAUUUAAGAUUCAGGUUUGACUUGCUGUGAUGUAUGCUAAAUGAUUUUAUUUAUAAAAUUCUGAAUAAAAUACUGCUUUUUCACUAUCAAAAGUGGACAGCUAAGCAGAAAGUAGAAGUUGGCUGCCUGCAUUAGUAGCCUUUCCUGCAAAGUGGGAUCCAUUGCAAAGGAUUCCUGAGACAGCUUUUAGUUUUUUAAGUAUGUACAAAAUGCUGCUUAUAUGUUUCAUUAUACCUCCCAUGGAGAGAGAGCAGGAUACAGAGUUCAGUACUUAAAAGUAAUCGUGCUUAAGAAUGGUAUCCUUUAGAGACUGUAGUGUCACUGAAGUGUUGGUGGGACUGGCUAGGCUCUGAGGAGGCAAGAGCAACACUGGCUUUUCUGCUAAGCUCCAGCAUGCUAGUUGCCCACUGCCUGAUUGCUGUAGAGAGAUUUACUGGUUCCUUCAGAACAGGAUGUAGAUCACAGAACAAAUGCCUGAAGAACUUGCUGUGAAAUUACUGUCAAUGUCAUGGAUCAUAAAAUCUGCCUUCUCUUUAAACCUUUAUUUUUUUAUGGUAGACAACAUACGCAGGGAAUAUAUUUUGUAAAAUUUGAGAAGAAUAAAGGCGACUGGCUGUUCAAAAUUUACUGCUAAAUAUUGUGACAUUCUGAUCAACUUAAGACUGCAUGAAUUCGGCAACUUCUAUUGAGAUUUAGAUAUUAAAAUCUUGUGACAAGCUUUAUCUUCAGCUUAUGCAGAGGGACAAAUUUACCUGCAUCAGAAAAUUAAGAUUUAGAUGAGACGUGAAACAUUUUGAUCAGCAACAAUAAGGCUUAUAUUUAUGUUAGUCUUUAUAUAGGCUAGUCACGAUUAUGACCUCAUGACUGCAUGCUACAAUGGGUGAUGAGAAGAUGGGGUCCAAACAAAUGGCCUAAAGGUAAAGUGUUUAUUGUAAUCAGGCCAGUUCUUAGCCCCCGUGGGGCCCGAGGCAAAGGGCAUGUGCGUGGCCCUCACGCCACGAUCACACGGUUUUAGUUGGGAUCUAAAGUCACAUAUCAAUCAAAAGCGCGGGGCCCCUUGAAGCGCGGGGCCCUAGGCAGAUGCCUCGUCCGCCUGCCCCUAAGCACGGCCCUGAUUGUAAUGUAGGGUAAGGUCCUGGGUUUAGCACUUCCUUAUGAGGAUACCAAUCUUUUCUCCUGCUAUUCUAGUUCCCCCCCCCCACCUUCAUCACUCCUUUCCUCCUUAAGGCCAAAAUCAUUGAUAGAUGGAAGCUCAUUCCUAUGAGAUUAAUAUGAAUCCCAUCCCUGUCAUCAUAAAGGCUUGUUAUCACAAUCUAGAUAAAAUAACCAGAUUUGAUAAUAAGUAGCGUAGUUAACUUGUCACCAGAAAUGUGCCUUGAAGCUCGUAAUUGCAAUUGGUUUAUACAUAUAACUAUGUGAGGACAAUUGGACAUUAAUAAUUUUUUAUUUUUGCUCUCUGAAGAUGGUGCUGUGAUGAAAAUUGUACUCUAUGUGCAUGCGCUCUACUUGUUAAUGGCAACAGUGUAUGUGGACUUGCUGGAAUAAUUUGUAUUAAUUACUGCUUCUAUUCAUUUGUUGAUAAGCUUGUGCCAUUAGGUUGUAAAUUAUGCAUGUAAUAAAAACAAUCUUUCAUUUAAUAGAAGUGAUUGAGACCACAUACUUUAUAUAAGGAGAACCCGGACUCAAUGUAUACGCUGGCGCAUGAGAAUUUGUGUAUCAUCAAAAAGAAGCCACAGCAAUUAAUAAAAUCUGUAGUAGAAGCGUGCAAAGUCCCUUCUUCAUAAAAAUCUGUUAUACCUCAUGCAAACAUGAUGCAUAAUGAUAGUAUUAAAAUAUGUCUGUCUUCUUAUUUUAUAACAUGAAUUUUGUAUUUUAAAAUCCAGUUUUUGGUUCUUAAUUUUUUUGUAAAUGGAAAAGGUUUUUAGCUGUUUAUAUUCUUUUGCAUCAAUGGGAACUGUAUAUAAAUGGAGCCAGUACAGUAUAAUAGAGAUUUUGUCAGGUUGUUACAUCACUGAAACUGACGAGUUUCUUCGUUUAACAUUUGCUCAGUAGAUGACAAUAAACUGCAUAACAGAGUAUGUACAUAACGGUU